UGGGGAAUAUUGGACAAUGGGCGAAAGCCUGAUCCAGCCAUGCCGCGUGAGUGAUGAAGGCCCUAGGGUUGUAAAGCUCUUUCACCGGUGAAGAUAAUGACGGUAACCGGAGAAGAAGCCCCGGCUAACUUCGUGCCAGCAGCCGCGGUAAUACGAAGGGGGCUAGCGUUGUUCGGAAUUACUGGGCGUAAAGCGCACGUAGGCGGAUUGUUAAGUGAGGGGUGAAAUCCCAGGGCUCAACCCUGGAACUGCCUUUCAUACUGGCAAUCUCGAGUCCGAGAGAGGUGAGUGGAAUUCCGAGUGUAGAGGUGAAAUUCGUAGAUAUUCGGAGGAACACCAGUGGCGAAGGCGGCUCACUGGCUCGGUACUGACGCUGAGGUGCGAAAGCGUGGGGAGCAAACAGG
rnacentral:rRNA from 1 species